rnacentral:rRNA from 1 species
UACGAAGGGGGCUAGCGUUGCUCGGAAUUACUGGGCGUAAAGGGCGCGUAGGCGGCACUGUUAGUCAGGCGUGAAAGUCCUGGGCUCAACCUGGGAACUGCGCUUGAUACGGCAGAGCUAGAGGAUGGAAGAGGCUCGCGGAAUUCCCAGUGUAGAGGUGAAAUUCGUAGAUAUUGGGAAGGACACCGGUGGCGAAGGCGGCGAGCUGGUCCAUUACUGACGCUGAGGCGCGACAGCGUGGGGGAGCAAACAGG